UACGGGGGGAGCAAGCGUUGUUCGGAUUUACUGGGCGUAAAGAGCGUGUAGGCGGCCAGGUAGGUCUGGUGUGAAAACUCAGGGCUCAACCCUGAGCGUGCUUCCGAUACGGGCAGACUAGAGGUAUGCAGGGGAGAACGGAAUUCCUGGUGUAGCGGUGGAAUGCGCAGAUAUCAGGAGGAACACCGGUGGCGAAGGCGGAUCUCUGGGCCAUUACUGACGCUGAGGAGCGAAAGCGUGGGGAGCGAACAGG
rnacentral:rRNA from 1 species